UGCCAGUGAUAAACUGGAGGAAGGUGGGGAUGACGUCAAGUCAUCAUGGCCCUUACGACCAGGGCUACACACGUGCUACAAUGGCAUAUACAAAGAGAAGCGACCUCGCGAGAGCAAGCGGACCUCAUAAAGUAUGUCGUAGUCCGGAUUGGAGUCUGCAACUCGACUCCAUGAAGUCGGAAUCGCUAGUAAUCGUGGAUCAGAAUGCCACGGUGAAUACGUUCCCGGGCCUUGUACACACCGCCCGUCACACCAUGGGAGUGGGUUGCAAAAGAAGUAGGUAGCUUAACCUUCGGGAGGGCGCUUACCACUUUGUGAUUCAUGACUGGGGUGAAGUCGUAACAAGGUAACCGUAGGGGAACCUGCGGUUGGAUCACCUCCUUA
rnacentral:rRNA from 2 species